CUUCCCUUUGACGGUUCCAGUCACUCGAGAAUGCUGUCUACACCUCUGUCAGGGCUUCCUUACCCUCUGCACCCUGGCCUCCAUCCCACUGCCUCGUCCUCCCACUGCUGAGGCCCCCACUGGCCUCCUGGCAACAACCCCUCAGCUGUGUAGACCUGGCCCCCUACCUGCCCCUCCACCACCUCUCUAACCUCCAGGAAGGGCCCCUCUGCUGGAACUACCCUUUCCUGCUCUCCUGGUUGGUAAAAUAUACAUAAGGUGACGUCUAUUCCACUUCCUGUCUCUAUGAAUUUGCCUGUUCCAGGGACCUCCUAGAAGCAGGAUCAUACAAUAUUUGUCCUUCUGUGCCUGGCUCAUUUCACUGGGCAUCACGUCCUCAAGGCUCAUCCGUGUUGUAGCAGGUGUCCGAAUUUCCUUCCUUUUCAAGACUGAAUAAUGUUCCAUCGUCUGGCUGGACCACAUUGCGUUUAUCCAUCGUCCAUCGAUGGAGACUUGCGUUGUCCACCUUUUGGCUGCCGUGAAUCACACUGCUGUGAACACAGGUGCACAGGGACUCGAACAUCCUUGGAGGGCCUGGAACCAACCCCCUGCGGACACCGAGGGACGACAGCACUGUCAUCUGCUAAUUUCAGC
rnacentral:lncRNA from 1 species